UACGGAGGGGGCGAGCGUUGUCCGGAUUUACUGGGCGUAAAGCGCGUGCAGGCGGCGCGUUUAAGUGGGGGUGUAAAGCCCGGGGCUCAACCCCGGGACGCCGCUCCAAACUGAAGCGCUUGAGGCCGGAAGAGGGGAGUGGAAUUCCUGGUGUAGCGGUGGAAAUGCGUAGAGAUCAGGAGGAACACCCGUGGCGAAGGCGGCUCCCUGGUCCGGUUCGACGCUCAGACGCGAAAGCGCGGGGAGCGAACGGG
rnacentral:rRNA from 1 species